rnacentral:rRNA from 1 species
GUACACAAAAAUGCACAUACUGUGAGCUCGAUGAGUAGGGCGGGACACGUGGUAUCCUGUCUGAAUAUGGGGGGACCAUCCUCCAAGGCUAAAUACUCCUGACUGACCGAUAGUGAACCAGUACCGUGAGGGAAAGGCGAAAAGAACCCCGGCGAGGGGAGUGAAAAAGAACCUGAAACCGUGUACGUACAAGCAGUGGGAGCCUCUUAAUGGGGUGACUGCGUACCUUUUGUAUAAUGGGUCAGCGACUUAUAUUCUGUAGCAAGGUUAACCGAAUAGGGGAGCCGAAGGGAAACCGAGUCUUAACUGGGCGUUAAGUUGCAGGGUAUAGACCCGAAACCCGGUGAUCUAGCCAUGGGCAGGUUGAAGGUUGGGUAACACUAACUGGAGGACCGAACCGACUAAUGUUGAAAAAUUAGCGGAUGACUUGUGGCUGGGGGUGAAAGGCCAAUCAAACCGGGAGAUAGCUGGUUCUCCCCGAAAGCUAUUUAGGUAGCGCCUCGUGAAUUCAUCUCCGGGGGUAGAGCACUGUUUCGGCAAGGGGGUCAUCCCGACUUACCAACCCGAUGCAAACUGCGAAUACCGGAGAAUGUUAUCACGGGAGACACACGGCGGGUGCUAACGUCCGUCGUGAAGAGGGAAACAACCCAGACCGCCAGCUAAGGUCCCAAAGUCAUGGUUAAGUGGGAAACGAUGUGGGAAGGCCCAGACAGCCAGGAUGUUGGCUUAGAAGCAGCCAUCAUUUAAAGAAAGCGUAAUAGCUCACUGGUCGAGUCGGCCUGCGCGGAAGAUGUAACGGGGCUAAACCAUGCACCGAAGCUGCGGCAGCGACGCUGAUGCGUUGUUGGGUAGGGGAGCGUUCUGUAAGCCUGUGAAGGUGGCCUGUGAGGGUUGCUGGAGGUAUCAGAAGUGCGAAUGCUGACAUAAGUAACGAUAAAGCGGGUGAAAAGCCCGCUCGCCGGAAGACCAAGGGUUCCUGUCCAACGUUAAUCGGGGCAGGGUGAGUCGACCCCUAAGGCGAGGCCGAAAGGCGUAGUCGAUGGGAAACAGGUUAAUAUUCCUGUACUUGGUGUUACUGCGAAGGGGGGACGGAGAAGGCUAUGUUGGCCGGGCGACGGUUGUCCCGGUUUAAGCGUGUAGGCUGGUUUUCCAGGCAAAUCCGGAAAAUCAAGGCUGAGGCGUGAUGACGAGGCACUACGGUGCUGAAGCGACAAAUGCCCUGCUUCCAGGAAAAGCCUCUAAGCAUCAGGUAACAUCAAAUCGUACCCCAAACCGACACAGGUGGUCAGGUAGAGAAUACCAAGGCGCUUGAGAGAACUCGGGUGAAGGAACUAGGCAAAAUGGUGCCGUAACUUCGGGAGAAGGCACGCUGAUAUGUAGGUGAAGCGACUUGCUCGUGGAGCUGAAAUCAGUCGAAGAUACCAGCUGGCUGCAACUGUUUAUUAAAAACACAGCACUGUGCAAACACGAAAGUGGACGUAUACGGUGUGACGCCUGCCCGGUGCCGGAAGGUUAAUUGAUGGGGUUAGCGGUAACGCGAAGCUCUUGAUCGAAGCCCCGGUAAACGGCGGCCGUAACUAUAACGGUCCUAAGGUAGCGAAAUUCCUUGUCGGGUAAGUUCCGACCUGCACGAAUGGCGUAAUGAUGGCCAGGCUGUCUCCACCCGAGACUCAGUGAAAUUGAACUCGCUGUGAAGAUGCAGUGUACCCGCGGCAAGACGGAAAGACCCCGUGAACCUUUACUAUAGCUUGACACUGAACAUUGAGCCUUGAUGUGUAGGAUAGGUGGGAGGCUUUGAAGUGUGGACGCCAGUCUGCAUGGAGCCGACCUUGAAAUACCACCCUUUAAUGUUUGAUGUUCUAACGUGGGCCCCUUACCGGGGUUGCGGACAGUGUCUGGUGGGUAGUUUGACUGGGGCGGUCUCCUCCUAAAGAGUAACGGAGGAGCACGAAGGUUGGCUAAUCCUGGUCGGACAUCAGGAGGUUAGUGCAAUGGCAUAAGCCAGCUUGACUGCGAGCGUGACGGCGCGAGCAGGUGCGAAAGCAGGUCAUAGUGAUCCGGUGGUUCUGAAUGGAAGGGCCAUCGCUCAACGGAUAAAAGGUACUCCGGGGAUAACAGGCUGAUACCGCCCAAGAGUUCAUAUCGACGGCGGUGUUUGGCACCUCGAUGUCGGCUCAUCACAUCCUGGGGCUGAAGUAGGUCCCAAGGGUAUGGCUGUUCGCCAUUUAAAGUGGUACGCGAGCUGGGUUUAGAACGUCGUGAGACAGUUCGGUCCCUAUCUGCCGUGGGCGCUGGAGAACUGAGGGGGGCUGCUCCUAGUACGAGAGGACCGGAGUGGACGCAUCACUGGUGUUCGGGUUGUCAUGCCAAUGGCACUGCCCGGUAGCUAAAUGCGGAAGAGAUAAGUGCUGAAAGCAUCUAAGCACGAAACUUGCCCCGAGAUGAGUUCUCCCUGAGACUUAGAGUCUCCUGAAGGAACGUUGAAGACGACGACGUUGAUAGGCCGGGUGUGUAAGCGCAGCGAUGCGUUGAGCUAACCGGUACUAAUGAACCGUGAGGCUUAACCUUACAACGCCGAAG